rnacentral:rRNA from 1 species
GGGGUGCUUGCUCCCUGAUCUUAGCGGCGGUCGGGUGUGUAACACGUGGGCAACCUGCCCUGCAGUCUGGGAUAACUCCGGGAAACCGGAGCUAAUACCGGGUAAUACAUCGCACCGCAUGGGUGCAAUGUUGAAAGUUGGCCUUUGGCUAACACUGCAGGAUGGGCCCGCGGCGCAUUAGCUAGUUGGUAAGGUAACGGCUUACCAAGGCGACAAUGCGUAGCCGACCUGAGAGGGUGAUCGGCCACACUGGGACUGAGACACGGCCCAGACUCCUACGGGAGGCAGCAGUAGGGAAUCUUCCGCAAUGGACGAAAGUCUGACGGAGCAACGCCGCGUGAGUGACGAAAGCCUUCGGGUCGUAAAGCUCUGUUGUUAGGGAAGAACAAGUACCGUUCGAAUAGGGCGGUACCUUGACGGUACCUAACCAGAAAGCCACGGCUAACUACGUGCCAGCAGCCGCGGUAAUACGUAUGUGGCAAGCGUUGUCCGGAAUUAUUGGGCGUAAAGCGCGCGCAGGCGGUCUUUUAA